CUCUGCUCGGCGCCCGCCCCUGCUCCGCGCCCGGCUCCGCGCCGCUCCGCCCCCGCCUCCGCGAGGAGCGCGGGCAGCCCGCCUGCUCCGCGGCCGCGCUGCAGUCCCGCUCCGGCAUGCCCCUCGCCGGAGGAGCACCGGCCGGCACGGGACUCCGCCGCCUCGACCCGCGCUCUGCCGGGCUCCGCCGCUCGCCGGCAUGAAGCGCCCGGCGCCGGGCUGCCGCCGCUGAGGAUCCCCGCGGCACGGGACCCGCGCCCCAUGGGGCAGCACCGCGGCCGCUGAGCCCCGCGCCGCCGCCCGCCGCCCCCCACCCCGCGCCGGCCGCCCCGCGGCCCCCGCCUCGCCCCGCUAUGGGGCCGCGGCACCUGCUGCUGCCGCUGCUCCUGCU
rnacentral:lncRNA from 1 species